AACCCAUGGUGAGGGCACCUUCUCAAUAGAUCUUUGUAACUCUCCUAUGCAUCAUAGAGUGUUUCUAGAUCCAUCUGCACAAAAGAAGAGAUAUCAUUCCUCAACUU
rnacentral:snoRNA from 1 species